rnacentral:rRNA from 1 species
GAUGAACGCUGGCGGCGUGCCUAAUACAUGCAAGUCGAGCGAACAGACGAGGAGCUUGCUCCUUCGACGUUAGCGGCGGACGGGUGAGUAACACGUAGGUAACCUACCUAUAAGACUGGGAUAACUUCGGGAAACCGGAGCUAAUACCGGAUAAUAUUUCGAACCGCAUGGUUCGAUAGUGAAAGAUGGCUUUGCUAUCACUCAUAGAUGGACCUGCGCCGUAUUAGCUAGUUGGUAAGGUAACGGCUUACCAAGGCAACGAUACGUAGCCGACCUGAGAGGGUGAUCGGCCACACUGGAACUGAGACACGGUCCAGACUCCUACGGGAGGCAGCAGUAGGGAAUCUUCCGCAAUGGGCGAAAGCCUGACGGAGCAACGCCGCGUGAGUGAUGAAGGUCUUCGGAUCGUAAAACUCUGUUAUUAGGGAAGAACAAACGUGUAAGUAACUGUGCACGUCUUGACGGUACCUAAUCAGAAAGCCACGGCUAACUACGUG